rnacentral:lncRNA from 1 species
AAAAGCUAUAUCAUCUAUAUGAACGAACAUAGUUAUGUAUGAAAAUGCAUUUUAAAGGGUCUGGAAGAAUUAUUUAAGACCAGUGACAGUGUCUGCCUACAGAGAGAGGAUUGGGAUUGGGAGUAGUGAAGCUGUGAAUAAUUUGUUUAGCUUUCUACUCCUUCUACCCUUCUGUAUUUUUCAGUAUUUUUUAUAGAGGAAAUACAUGGAUAUUUUUUAAGGAGUGAGAAAUGGCUGGACAAUCCUAACUAGCAUGCUCCCACCUUUAAUUCUUACUCUGCCAGAAGAGGUACGGUCCAUUUAAAAUGAGGAAAUCUCCGAUUAAAAACUCCCACAGGGACAGAAGUUCCUGUUGUGGCCAAUCGACAUGACUUCACUGAACUCGGAGUUGAAAGGGCUGUACACAACCAGUUCUCAUGAGCCAAGAUAAGUGAGCCCAGUGUACCACUAAACAGCAGACUUGGGCUCAGCUAAGCCAGAGAGAGUUCGAAGAGGGUUCCGAGAAGUUGACAUAAGUUCAACCAAGAGCUUUCAGUGUAGAGGUAUCAUCAGUGGACAUUGUCUUGCAUUAUACCCUUUACCUUUAAAAAUCUCCAAGUUGGGGAGUUCCCAUCACGGCUUAUCGGAAAUGAAUCUGACUAGCAUCCAUGAGGAUGCAGUUUCGAUCCCUGGCCUUGCUCAGUGGAUUAAGGAUCCGGCGUUGUGCCGUGAGCUGUGGUAUAGGCUGCAGACGAAGCUUGGAUCCUGCAUUGCUGUGGCUGUGGUGUAGGCCAGCAGCUGUAGCUCUGAUUUGGCCUAGCUGGGAACUUCAAUUUGCUGUAGGCGUGGCCCUAAAAAGACAAAAAAAUAAGUGAGUAAAUAAAAUAAAAUCUCCAUGUUGGAUUCAAAAUGUACAUUAGUGUUUAAGUUCUAGAAAAGCAAGUAUGAACAUGAAUGUGAAAGUACCUGAUAACCAUUCAAAUACCAAGGAUGAUAGGAGGAAAUAUAGGCCAGGUUACUCGGUUGAGACUAAUUCCUGUGUUGUUCCUUUUUUUUCUUUUUGAUUAGAAAAAAAUUUUUUUUCUGUUAUUUUGACUGUUUCAGUUAGGAGUUUUAAAACUGCUCAGCACUGUUAUAUCCUGAAUCAAGACACACACACACACACACACACACACACACACACACACACACACACGCAGUGAUAUUGGACAUGUACAGGGGUAUCAGGACUGUAGAGUUUUAGUGUAGAAACUCUUCUUACUUCCGUCCCUCUGGUGAGGAACUAGGACUUUGGAAUCAGUCAGACCUCAAUUCAGAUCCCACCUCUGCCACUUACAGUCCAUGUGAUGGGAGAAAGGACUUAGCUUCUACAAGCUCCAGUUUCCUGGUUUGCAAAAUGGUGGUAAUGUUAGAACUUAAUUCAAGGCACUAAACACUAGACACUUAACACAAAGGGCAGUUAUGAGGAUUAACAUAUUUAAUGCAAUACCUGGCAUUUAAUAAUAAUAAACCCUGAUUAAACAAUAAAUAAGCUGUGGUACCAACACCUUGAUCUGGGAGUUUAGAAUCCUGAAGGCCAAGCAACUCAGUUCCCAGAGUCUAGCCACCAAGACCUGUUUAUCAGGUCUGACUGCAGGGAAGAGGGGAAGUCAAGAGCAUGUACCCCAGGUGCUCUGCUGCAUGGUCCUUGAACUGGGGGAACACCUGCCACCUCUCUGUUUUGUUUGAAUUCUGCUUCCCCCCAGGGAUUUCUAGGCCUGAACUCACCCAUGGUUUAUUCACCCCUGACCAAAGCAAAUGUCAAUGUUGAGCAGAAGUGACAAUGUGAAAGAUUUAAGACGGAAAAUGAGAGCAUCUUUUUAAAAAGCCAGUGGAGCUGUCUGUCCGACUGUCUCUGGAAGCCAGGCUUUGCCAAGCGUGUGUGUGGGGGAAUCGCACUAAUGCCGAGGACCAGGGUCUCUGCUGCGCACACAGGGGUGGUGAGUACAGCUGCCCAGUUCACCCAGGACUUUGACUGAGCCCAUCUGAUUCUGGGGAAAAAAAGCCAGACUUCUUAAAGGUUAGUCUGUUCAACAGGGGGGACCUCAGGGCUUUCUGUAUGCUCAGCAAAGAGACCUUGUAGUGACGUCCUCUCCAUCCUGGGUUCUGGUGGUGCCAUCACUUGUCAUGUUGUCCUGAGGCACACAGAUGUUGGGGCUCCUGGCUUGACACAUUGCGAGGGAACUGGCACCAAAGAUGAGAUGUCCUUGAUCAUGGACUCCAUAAAAUCCUUUCCCAACCAUCUCAGUGCAGAAGGUAGAACUCCACCUCCUGGGAGGCCUCAGGGAGAGAGGCAGUUGUCAGUGAACUCAUACUCAUCAACUGCUCAGUGAAUCUGACCGACAAGAUGAUAUUCACAAAGUGACAUCAUGUGUGAUAGAAUUAAAUGACUGAGAAGAAAAUGAAAGCCACUUUACAAUAAUUUCUGGCGUUGCCGUCAGUAUUAAAACUGUCGAGGUCCAGAGAAGGAACUGCAGGCUGUACCAUCUUUAACCAGAGGACCAGUGCUUAGCACUUAGGAUACAAAAAUACCAUUUCCUCCUGUGGAUUCCUCGUUGCAGCAAGAUGAUAAGGAAAUGCUAGAGGAUCUUUCCACUUCACUUCUGGCUGAGCCCUUCCUCUCUGUGAAACAUAUUAGAUCUACCUUGAUUUUUUUUUUAAUUCCAUCUUCAACUAAUACAGUUUCCUGGAAAGGAAAAAAGAAAAAGAGGGAGGAAAGGAAGAAGG